CCACUGCUCCAUCUCCUCAGGUCCUUAUCUUUUCCUUCAAAGUACCACAUUUCAUCAUCCCUGGGAAAAUAUUUUGAAUAUAAACAUUUUGCCCUCUUUCAACCAUCAGGAGGGCCAGAGUGAAAUAUAAAAUACAUAAUUAGUAACAAAAAACUAUGACACGUUUCCCCUGGUAUAGUACUCCAUUCUUAAGAACUAAGCAAUACAGUGGUACCUUGGUUUUAGAAGAGCUUAGUUUAUGAACAACUUGGAAAUAGAAUGCUGAAAGCCUAGAAGGUGGGAGUAGGUUAGUUUCUCACAACACAUGCUAAAAACUUGCUCUUUUUCUUAACGAAGGGGGUUAUGAUUUUUGUGGAGGAAGAUGCCCUUGCCGCCUCAUGGAUGCCCACGGAUCUCAGGAACAUUAACCUUGCAUGCAUCGUGCAAUGAGGCACCAAAUGUGGAAUGGUGCUGCGGAGCCACAUCUCUGCGUGUGUCCCUGAUGUUCAGACAUUAAGUGUGGGUGUCUUCAAAGGAAAGCUGAUGUGCAUAGCCUUUCCUUGGUAGAGGCAAUGAGGUGCUUGUCCCUUGAAUCAGUGGGUCUAACCAGCAGAAUAGGAGAAUUAUGGGGAAAUAAUUGUAAACAAGUGAAAACGCUAGCAGGAUUGAGGUAAAUUCAACAGUAAAAAUCAUGCUGAGGUAAUAUUUAAAGUGGGGGGCGCGAUUUAGAUGGUUAGAAUAGGAUAUGCAGUAAUGAUGGGAAACUUAAAAGAACCAUGGGAGCUGAAGAAGGGAAGCCAAUGAUUGCAUUAUUUUAUUGGAGAAAGCAUAAUUGUGGAAAAUAAACUUUCAAUAAAAAAUAUUUUUAAAGAGAAA